rnacentral:rRNA from 1 species
GACCUGAGCUCAGGCAAGAUUACCCGCUGAACUUAAGCAUAUCAAUAAGCGGAGGAAAAGAAACUAACCAGGAUUCCCCUAGUAACGGCGAGCGAACCGGGAAUAGCCCAACAUGAAAAUCUCCCUUUGGAGAAUUGUAGUCUACAGAAGUGCCCUCUGUGGCGGUUGGAGCCUAAGUCCGCUGGAAGGCGGCGUCAAAGAGGGUGAGAACCGCGUCGGCUCCAUCUUAGCUACAUCACGAGGUGCUUUCCACGAGUCGGGUUGUUUG